UUUCGGGUUCAAUGGUGCGUGUUCUUCUAAUGGCCGCCUUCCCACUGGAGGUUUUGAUCCACAGCAAUUUAAAAGGAGGACAGAUCAAAACGGACGUCGGCGCAGAGUGAAGAACUGCCCUUCAUAAGGACUCUAUGACAGCCAUAUAUAUGGCAGUAAGGAAGAGGUUUCCCAAUGUGUCCAGAAGGGCUUUGGGGAUUGCAGUGAAAGCUGGGGGAACUGAGACUGCUGGAAAAGGAAAAGAAAUUACAUUUAAAGUAUGUUGACUUAUGUUCAUACAAUCACACACACAUAUACACAUACACACACAUAUGUGUACA